CCGAAGUUAAGCGUGCUUGGGCGAGAGUAGUAAUAGGAUGGGUGACCUCCUGGGAAGUCCUCGUGUUGCACCCCUGGG
rnacentral:rRNA from 1 species